UACGGAGGGGGCUAGCGUUGUUCGGAAUUACUGGGCGUAAAGCGCACGUAGGCGGCUUUGUAAGUUAGAGGUGAAAGCCCGGGGCUCAACUCCGGAAUUGCCUUUAAGACUGCAUCGCUCGAAUUGUGGAGAGGUAAGUGGAAUUCCGAGUGUAGAGGUGAAAUUCGUAGAUAUUCGGAAGAACACCAGUGGCGAAGGCGACUUACUGGACACAUAUUGACGCUGAGGUGGCGAAAAGCGUGGGGGAGCAAACAGGG
rnacentral:rRNA from 1 species